UUCUCAUUGUAUUCAGUACUUAUGCACUUGCAGGUUCUAUCUGAAAAGGCAGUGGUAUCCUCAUGCUUUCCAGAGCUUCCCAAUCAAUGGAAGCAUAAAAAGGAUGUUGCUGGAUACUUCCAUUGAUGCCAAGACAUGUGUGAGCAUUUUUGAAUCACAUGCCAUAUGUUACAGUAUUGAUUCAGGUAAUAAAUGCAAUACAAAUGCAUUAUCAGAAGAAAUGGAAAAAACUAUUGGGGGGAGGGCAGACGUAAUAUUAGAUCACACCCACCUUUCUCAGAAGAUUCCGUAAUUCUGAGCUGAUCCACCCUGGAAUGUUGGGUUGAUGUUUGAGGAUACAUUUUUCACAUUGAGCAGGUCAUGUCCAUCCUGGAGCAUUUUAAGGUGGCUAUUUUGCAUAGUGUUAUGCAAAACGAUCCACAGCUGCUUCAUACAGUACCAUACACUGAAUUCCAUAGAAGAAACUUGGGGUGACUAGAAGUUACAACCAGUUCAUGUUAUUACAAUAUUUUGUUCCCCAAUCACACGACCCUCAAUGUGCCAUUACAGUUAUUCUACCACUGUAACGGCAGCAGAUAUGCUACUUAUAUAAAACAUCACAAGACUCAUCAUGUUCUCCAGAAUACAGGUAAGUUGGUGUAUUCUCUACAGUGUGCCAGUUUCUUAUUAUCCAUUUAAACUUUGUAGUUUUAUACCAACUUUAACCUUGUUUUCUGCAUCUAUAAAAAGGAUUUUGACACUUACAUCACUUCUGUUUUUUCCAGGUAUCACUUUUCUCUGAUAACUUCAUGAAGACUUCCUCUGCUGGCAUACUUUAUUAUGAAGAAGGCAUGGAGCUAGUUACAGAGACAGAGGGGAAGAGAGUUACAUGAACAGAUUAUGAUAUCAACUCUGAGGAGGAGAGCAGGAUUUUCACUUCUUCAUUUUUUUCACCAUUAGAGCUUUCAACUGGACCUCACUGACUCUAGAUCGUGAUGCUACAUUUUUAUUCAUUCAUUUUUAUUCCAUACUUACAUUUUUAUCUAGGCCUUUCCUAUUCAUCUUUCAGUCUCUCAUACGAACCACUGCUUAGUUGCUGCUGUAUGUUAAAUUGGAUCCAAGCAACCAGAUAGUUGCUGAAAUUUGGUUUAUAUGUUUAAAUACUCUUGGAAGUCACAAAAUGUGUCACAAUGUUUAUUGUGAUAAUUUAAGAUAUAAAAUAAACUAGAAUUAC